rnacentral:rRNA from 1 species
CCUACGGGAGGCAGCAGUGGGGAAUAUUGCACAAUGGGGGAAACCCUGAUGCAGCGACGCCGCGUGAGUGAAGAAGUAUCUCGGUACGUAAAGCUCUAUCAGCAGGAAAGAAAAUGACGGUCCCUGACUAAGAAGCCCCGGCUAACUACGUGCCAGCAGCCGCGGUAAUACGUAGGGGGCAAGCGUUAUCCGGAUUUACUGGGUGUAAAGGGAGCGUAGACGGCGCUGCAAGUCAGUAGUGAAAGCCCAUGGCUUAACCAUGGUACUGCUCUUGAAACUGUAGAGAGUGAGUGCGGGAGGGGCAGGAGGAAUGCCUAGUGUAGCGGUGAAAUGCGUAGAUAUUAGGAGGAACACCGGCGGCGAAGGCGGCCUGCUGGACCGUAACUGACGUUGAGGCUCGAAAGCGUGGGGAGCAAACAGGAUUAGAUACCCUUGUAGUC